rnacentral:rRNA from 1 species
UACGUAGGGGGCAAGCGUUGUCCGGAUUUAUUGGGCGUAAAGAGCGUGUAGGCGGCCUGGUAGGUCAGCUGUGAAAACUCGAGGCUCAACCUCGAGACGCCGGUUGAAACCAUCAGGCUAGAGUCCGGAAGAGGAGAGUGGAAUUCCCGGUGUAGCGGUGAAAUGCGCAGAUAUCGGGAAGAACACCCGUGGCUAAGGCGGGCACCUGGGCUAACACUGACGCUGAUGCGCGAAAGCUAGGGGAGCAAACAGG